UGGUUGGUUUUGUUCAUGUUUUUCAAAGUUCUGACCAUUUAGUUUUUUGUUGUGGUUGUUGGUGUACGGUAUGGUACUGAUUCGGAAUUUUGUUCUGACCAUUUAGUUUUUUGUUGUGGUUGUUGGUGUACUGUAUGGUACUGAUUCGGAAUUUUGUUCCUCUCAGGAUUUUGGGUGUGCCUUAUUUAAGAUCCAACUAGCGGAAUCUUAAUGGUGUGGAGAAAGUUAGAGAUUUCAAAUGAAAAGAGUUUAUAAAGAGAAGAUGAUCAUUUGCACUUUUAAUAAAGAAAAGGUAUAGGAAUGUAGAGCAAAUGUGAAAAUGCAAGUGAUCAUCUUCAAUUCAUGAGAAGAAAUUGGGCUAAAAAUUAUCCACUGUAUGAUAUUGUUCAUGCAUCAUGUUGAAGUCUCGGCACCAUAUCUGGUCAACUACAUUUGCUGCAGUGGAUAAAGUGAGAUCUGGCUUCAUUUUUUAUGAAAGGAUUAUCCUGCUCUACCUUUCCAGGCUGGCAUAAAUAGAUCUUUUGGCAAAGUAAUUUACUUAAAGCAAUGGCAUCUCAACUCAGAUAUAGCUCUGACAAGAAAAAUCAAGUUGCCGCUCAAGCUUACACCAUUUGUAUAGGUUCUUGCUACUAUUCAAGGGAUUUUUUUUAUUUUAAUGUGGACGUGAAGGCAACCUGGAAAGCUUUAGAUGGAUCGACAAUCUUCUGUUGAGGUCACAAAUCUUUUGUGUCUUUGCGUGAUUCGCAGUUUUGCUGUAGAUAACAUGUGUCUGCAUUAUAUUUCCCAUUGUACACGGAGCUGCUUUUGAUUAGAUGUGAAAAUGAGGGGAUGAAGAUCGGUGCAGGAAGAAAGUGUGCAAGGAAAUAAACUAACAGAUGGAACGAAGUCCCUGGAAACAAUGCAGAAUCAAAUACCGGGGAUACUAUCGGUCAAAACCAUAGUUAAUUAAAAGUUAAAACUGAUACUAGAAAUUAAGAGGAAAA